UACGGGGGGAGCAAGCGUUGUUCGGAUUUACUGGGCGUAAAGGGCGCGUAGGCGGUCAGCACAAGUCAAUUGUGAAAUCUCCGAGCUUAACUCGGAAAGGUCAACUGAAACUGUGCGACUAGAGUGCGGAAGGGGCAACUGGAAUUCUUGGUGUAGCGGUGAAAUGCGUAGAUAUCGUUUGGAACGCCAAUGGUGAAAACAGGUUGCUGGGAGUGUGCUGACGCUGAGACACGAAAGCCAGGGGAGCGAACGGG
rnacentral:rRNA from 1 species